rnacentral:rRNA from 1 species
AUUGAACGCUGGCGGCAGGCCUAACACAUGCAAGUCGAGCGAGCGGCGGACGGGUGAGUAAUGUAUGGGGACUGCCCGAUAGAGGGGGGUAACUACUGGAAACGGUAGCUAAUAACGCAUACUAUCGGAUAACACAUCGGGGAUGAGUUAGUAGGUGAGGUAAUGGCUCACCUAGGCGACGAUACCUAGCUGGUCUGAGAGGAUGAUCAGCAACACGGGAACUGGGACACGGCCCAGACUCCUACGGAGGAAGCAUUGGGGAAUAUUGGACAAUGGGCGCAAGCCUGAUGAAGACAUGCCGCGUGUAUGAAGAAGGCCCUAGGUUUGUAAAGUACUUUCAGCCGGGAGGCGUUACCGACAGAAGAAGCACCGGCUAACUCCGUGCCAGCAGCCGCGGUAAUAC